ACCAAUCAGUCAAAAAUUUUGUCAUGUAAAUUCUGCGUGCUUUAACUUUUUUCAAACAAAAAUUUUAGUAUUUUUUACUAUAAACAAAAUCCUUAACAAAAGAUGGAUUGGAACCGAGAUGGUAGCAAAAGUGCUGAGUUUGACAAACACAAGUCUUGGUACAAAGUCGAUAUAGACGGGGACUACAUCACAAAAAAUACUAAAACUAAAAACACGCCAAAGAAAAAUAUAAAUAAAACUAAAAAUCGAAGUAAAGAAAAACCGAGAAGGGUGGCUAAGCCUGUGAUUUCGGAGCAAAAGGCUGUAGUUCUCGCAAAGGAUAUGAAGAUUAUGAAAACGUAUGAAGAAAAGCCGGAAAAUUUGAGCAAAACACAUGCACUAAUGUUUAGACUGGGUGUUCAUCUAUGUUUCUCCCUAGUAAUGCUACUAACAGCAUACUACGGCUUUUCCUACGUUAUGCCAUCGCAAGUAAUAUCGUCGAAUAUCUCUUCAAUAGAAGGGUCGCUGCCAUCUGCUCGAGAUUUGAGACUAAAUCCUGGAUUUUUCAAAGAAGAAGAAAUAGAUAUCUACUCAGUCAAAUAUUUCCCGUCGCUCUGCCCUCAAAAUUGGCACCGUCCACGGAUCCCUACUAAAAUUCCUGUUCAAACACCUAAUUUGAAUUUGAAUAUUACAUACAUAUUGCACCAUUGCUUAUUAAAUCCAUUUGUCCUUAAGACUUCAAAAUACGAAAAAAGUAAA